GGGGGGGCUCCGGGGUGCCCCUCCCCCGCUCUCCCGAAAUGGCGCCUCGGGCCGUGUACCCCCAGCUCCAGUCAGGGGGUGGAGGAGGAAACCCCUGUAAUGGCGGGCAGCGCGUUUCACUGAGCCCACUUGGGCAACUUUAGUCGCCCACGAAGCGAGCUGUAGCCCACGAAAGCUGAUGCUCAAAUAAAAGUGUUCGUCUCCGAGGUGCCACGAGGCCUCCUGUUCUGUUUGCUUUACUCUCCUGCCCGCUGAACCGGCAGCCGCCCUGGCGCGCGGGUCCUUCCUGCCUGGGUAGCGCCAGGCACGCCGCCUUGGCCGCCUCCUCACCCGCCGGGGCCGCCCUCGGGGGGCCGAGGCGAGGGGUGUGAGCCUCCCGGUUCCGAGAGAAAACGUGGCUCGCUGGCCCACGCCUGGGACACCAGCAAAACGUGCAACACACCGGCACCGGUGGCAGCCCCCCGCCACCGCAGUUUCAGCUGAUUCCCCGACUGCUGUUGGCUGUGCCCACACAGGCCAGGCACGAGUUACAAGCGCAGCCUGGGAAGCAAGAGCAGGGCACAGAAAGGGCGUCAAAAAAAUGCAAGUUUGAUGAAAGCUACAUUGACCUUGGAUUUACGUGGACUGGGGACGCUGGAUAUCCUCAGCCACAGCGUGUCCUGUGCGGUGCAAACAGCACUCUUAAACUGUCCCUUCUUCGCCAGCAUCUAGAGACUAAACACAAUUAAUUUAAAGACAAACCAGCUCAGUUUUUCAAUUGCAAACUGGAAGUGCUAAAAAGCAAUAAAAAAAAUCCUGCCAUCGAACUCUUGCGUGGAAAAUGUGAAUGCACUUUGAGCUUCACACUUCAUGAGUUACAGAGUGGCUAAAACAGGAGAACCACACGCUAUUACAGAAGAUUUCCUUAUAUCUGCUGUGAAGGCCGUGAGGAAUUGCAUGCUCGGUGAAAAAGCAGAAAAAAAAUAACUUGAUUCCAUACCCCUCUCCAAUGACACUGUCACACUGCAUUGCCGAUAUGGCUGAAAAUGUUCUUUUUCAGCUUGUGAAUUGGGUUAGGAACAGUGACUAUUAUUCUUUGCAAUUAGACAAGUCCACGGAUUUAGACAGCCUAGCUAAUCUUUUGCUUUAUGUUCCUUAUAUGUAUGAAAGUACCAUACAUGAAGACUUUCUCUUUUGUCAUUCCCUGCCUAUCCAAACAACAGGAGAAGAGAUUUUUUUUACUGCUUGAUAACUUCAUGAGUGAGAAUAGAAUUGACUGGUCCCACUGUGUAGGGAUUUCUACUGAUGGGACAAAAUCAAUGAUAGGAAAGCACAGUGGAGUCAUGGUUCGCAUCAAGGCUGUAGUAACAGAAGACACAUGGGUGCACUGCAGCAUCCAUAGAGAGGCCCUAGCUUCCCAAAGAAUGCCUGAAAACUUAAUGUCAGUGUUGUCUGAUGCUGUCAAAAUGGUUAACUUCAUUAAGGGUCAGUGUCUAAAUUCAAGAAUUUUUGCUACCCUGUGUAAUGAAAACGGGAAAUGACCAUUUGCCGCUACUAAUGCACACUGAGCUUCACUGGCUAUCGUGUGGCAAAGUGCUGACAUGACUCUUUGAGCUGCACAGCGAGCUUCAAUUUUUUUUCACCGAUCACUACCCCUUUGCACUGUCAUCUUGCUUGGAAGAUGCUGCCUGGCUUCAGCCAUUAGCCUACUUGGCAGACAUUUUUUCUUGCCUUAACGAGCUCAAUUUUGGCCUUCAGGGCUUAAGCACCACUAUUUUCGAAACACAAGACAAAAUCGAAUCCAUGAUUAAGAAACUACUAUUUUGGGAUAGUUGCUUAAAGAGAAAUGUGAUUGACUGCUUUCCAACACUGCAAGAAUUUCUUGCAACAAAUUACAAUAUGCUGUUACAUGAGAGUGUGAAAGCUGACAUUAUGGAACACUUGCAACAACUUAGCAAACAACUUAGAAAAUAUUUCCCCAAAAUGGACAAUGCAAAUUCCUGGAUAUGCAAUCCCUUUAAGGUGCCUGAAUCUCUUCCAGUUCCUUCUCUGCCAGUGGAUGAGCAGGAGAAACUUUUAGAUCUCUCCUGUGACAGUGGUCUUAAAUUAGAAUUUGCAUGCAAACCUUUGGCAGACUUCUGGGUGCAAAGGAUGAAAGAUUACCCAUACCUGUCAAAACGAGCUGUCAAGUUUCUGAUGCCCUUCUCCACAACAUACCUUUGUGAGACUGGAUUCUCUGCCCUCAUGGCUAUCAAGACAGAGUAUCCUCAGAGAUUAAAUGCUGAAAAUGACUUGUGAGUGAAGCUCUCUCCAAUUUUUCCUGCCAUCAGUGAUUUGUGUGAUAAAAAGCAAGGACAUCCAUCACACUGAUAGGCAGAAUAGAUCCCUUUGGACUCAAAAGGGUUUUCCCAAGUUCUGGUUUCCCUUAUAAAAAUAGGCAGUGCCUACCUGAGAAGGGGGAACCUUUGAGCAGCUCCCUCAGGUGUUGGAACUGGAGCAGCUUCACUCGGAUACAAAAAUGGAAACCGCGCAGGAAGAAGUUGCUGAUCUAGAGAGAAACAACUCCACUCCUGGAUUGGAAGAGUUUCAGACUGUAUGUGGUUCUGGUCAUGAUUUGAUUUUAGUUCUGUGUGAAGGGUAGAGCUGGGCACAUUUUUUUUUCAACAUACUGUUUUUUCACCACAAAAUGCAUUUUCCCUGGGUGCUGACUCCGAGAGCAAACUGAUCUCUUUGCCCAGAAAAGGAUUUUCUUUACCAACAAGGUGUUUCCUGGCGCUCGCAAGUAGGGUGCUGGAGAUGAGCCCUGUAUCACUGUUGCUAGUACAUGAAGUACAUUGCUGCAGCCUGUGAACGCCAUACUCCUCUGCAAACUGUGCAGUUUACCCAGUAAGACAUCAAUAAAAAACAAACAAACAAAAAAUGAGAACAGGUGACCAAGAGGAAAACCUGGGUCCACGCCCAACUCAACACUUGGGCUGGUAUGCCAUUAGCCUAGGUUUGUUGUCUUCUGUUCUACACUUGGGUCCAGCUUGGGACCAUCUGUUCUGCACAUGGUACAUGCCUAUCACGGGUCGUGUCCUGGCUGACAUCAGCCUAGCGGACAGAGAGGUGAGCAAACCAAGCGCAACACCUUGUAAACUGCCCCAAGUCCCACUGUGCGGACAGUUGCUAGUGGGUCAUUUGAUUUGCUCUAGCUCAGAUGGGUGGAAGGUGGAAGGAAAUGGUGUGGGAAGCUCUGUCUCUGCUAGCCCUGGGAUGGCUGGCUCCAGUCACUAACUCCGUCCAACUCAGUCUCUGCCUCGGUCUGCUCUCCAUGCUGACGGGUGAGGCUGAUUCUCCGUUGCUGAACCAAGCCUGAGCAGAUGAACUAUUUGCAGAAUUCAGCAGUAGGGCUCGGCGUCCCCUGAAAGGAGAUGAAACAGUGUGACGAGGUGAGGAUAGUAGAGGGCAGGGAACAUUUUCCAUCGUGUCUCUGCUUUCCAGUCUUUACUCGCUCUUCUCAGGUCUGCUGCUUUAUAAAGCUGCCUGACCUGAGAAUGUGCUGUGAAGAGCACCAGCAAAUCAUCACUGCCCAGGAUGGAUGAUGUCUUGCCAAGCUACAACAUUCAGCAGAGAGCUCUCACCCUAGCAAGAGGAUAAUGCACAGGAUGACUGGCUUUUAGAUGUGCAGAGCACCCACAAACCCUGUUGUGGGCUCAGCACCUCUGCAAAUCAGGCCCUCUGUGGUUUGUGGGAUUGGCUAAUAAAUUAGCAUUCAUAACCACUGGGUGCAGAGCCAGUGCUGGAGCGUGGAAACUGCAGUGCAAUCAAUGCUGCAGGCACAUAUGGCAGCCCCUGGUUCCGCUAGUGAGCUCGGAGCAGCUCUGGCAACAGCAUCUCCUAUGUCUUCUGAGAGAAGUGGUUGCCCAGCAACCCUCCUCUGACUUCUAGGGGACAACAGUUCCCAUCCAAUGCUUCAUUAAGUUCCACCAAAUGGGGUAUAGCACCACAAAGAUCUAAAACUUUACUCACCUUGUCUCUCUAAUAUCCUAGGACCUACACAGCUACAACUACACUGCAUACAAGGAGGAGGGGCAGACAAAGAUUGGGAAGAAGAGACAGAAGAUGGAGAGAGGAGGAGAGCUGGGUUGGGUGAAGGGAAGCUGGAGACAGGUGGGGGUGAAGGAGGAAGGGGAAUUAACUAGUGCGGACCAGCAUGUCCAUGUAGUUACGGAGGUGAUGCAGUGACUGAGGCUGCAGAAGAUCUUGUGGUGGGACUGGCCUCCCUGAGGCAAUUCACACAUCCUGACCAGCUCUGCCUCUGCCUGUUUUUCUCCUUCUAGCAUCUUGCCCACUUUAGUGCUACUUCCCACCUGGAGACCCAGGUUGGUGCAAUUCCUACUCCAGGGGAAGGAGCCAUUCCAAGAUUAAAGGAAAGUCAGAAUAGGUACCAGGACCUAGCAGUGAUCAAACCAGUUUCUGAAUGAACCAAAAGCACAUCUCUGAAAGUCUCUUCCUUACCCAUACAUUCAGCUUGGAGUUGCAUUCCCAGAAUGGUGUUCUGCAAAAUGGCAGCCUUCUAAGUCACUUCAUUAUUUUUGUUAAUUGUCAUUGACAGUUUAAUAACUUCUGAAGUUAUUUCAGCUUCCUAGCGACUGGAUGCCAUGACUAGAAACCCCUUGUGCUCCACAGUUUCCCUGCAUUAUGGAGUCUUACCCUUUGAAGAGGAAGCUGCAGGUGAUCAGUAUGUCAAACAGGAGGAACUUCAGCAACAACACUCUGAUGGCCAAGAGAAGCAGGAUUUGUGAACGGACGGGCAGAGCUGAAACAGAUGGGAUCAUGUACCUGAUCAGGACCUGGGGUGCCACACAGAAAAAUUACCAGUGGUCCCUAUUGGGACUGUGUCUGGCCGCAGUGCCCAACCUUAUUACACAAGAGGGCCACAUAAACCUAAGCACAACCUUGUGUGAGCCAAACAGCUUCCACAUAUUUUAAUAAGAUUUAAAGUAACCUGUAUUGAUUUAUAUUUUAAGUUCUCUUGUUUCAUAUAUAUUUAGAUAGGUUGUUUCUAUGUACGGUAUUGUCUGUUCACACUCUUGUGUAAACUAAAAAGAUGUAAACGUGAUGCCAAAACGCUAAUAAAUCUGCCAUUAGUAAA